GUUUUUCUUGCAUGGCAAUCACCCAAUCCAGAUCAUCAAGUCCUUCAUCUACCUUAAGAGGUUCCAAAGGAGAAACAAACGAGUAACAUCCACAAAAGGUUGCUAAACAUGAACGAGUAGUUACCCCUCUUUGGAUACUUCCAAUGAUGUUGUCGACGGGAUGAUCCCGUUGAAUGCUUUGAUGAACUCUUGGAUAAGGCACUUGUGAUUCACGUUGAAUAGGUCCAUCAUCAUCAGUUUUAACUUGUGGAUCAUCUUCUUUAUCUUCACCACCUUGUUCUCCCCCUUGAUCAGUGCCAUGAGCUUAGUCGUCACCAUGAACUUGACUUUGAUCUUGGGUUUGUUGAGAAUUUGGUGGUUCAACUCUUGUUGAUGAUGAUGGAUCAUUGUAGUCAUUUUCUUCCGGUGCUUAAGCCUUAAGUUCACACGGUCUUACUUCACCCAAGCCCAUCCUCAUGAUUGAUUGACUUGGUGGCUCCUCAUCAUCUACAAGGUUUUUGUCAACUUGCUCUACUGAGAGCCGUUGGAUUCAUCAAAAGUCACAUCUACCGUGAUC
rnacentral:lncRNA from 1 species